rnacentral:rRNA from 1 species
UACGUAGGAGGCAAGCGUUAUCCGGAUUUAUUGGGUUUAAAGGGUGCGUAGGCGGAUCGAUAAGUCAGUGGUGAAACCCUGCAGCUUAACUGUAGACUUGCCGUUGAUACUGUUGGUCUUGAGUGUGGUCAAGGUAGGCGGAAUGUGUAAUGUAGCGGUGAAAUGCUUAGAUAUUACACAGAACACCGAUUGCGAAGGCAGCUUACUGGGCCAUUACUGACGCUGAUGCACGAAAGCGUGGGGAUCGAACAGG